GAUUUGCAGAAAAAGGAACAUAAGCCUGCUCCUUUUUAAAUGAAUAAAUGGGAGGAAAACAGUAGCUUUUGACUUUUAUGUUUUUUCAAAAAGCAGAAAAGUAACUAAAUUAACCCUCUGAUGAUGUGAAUAGUUCAGGAUUGUCUCGCAACCAGGAAAUGGCCAACAGACCUCAAAUGACUAAUGAACCCUAACGGAAAUAUUAAGUGGACCUUUAGCAGACCGUAUUCUAGUGGUCUGUUUAACCAUACGUUCUAGGGUGAUUCUUUAAUGUUAUAUUAAUUAUUCAUCUAUCAAGACGACCAAUUUUAUUUUAUUUUCUACCUUCAGGAGUGUUCAAAUACCACCCAGAACAACAGAGUGAGAGAAAAGAGGGCUCACUAUGGAUUUAAGAUCAGCAGCAAGAGGAUUUCUAGCUUUCCUUCUGUCAGUACCAGACAACUUCCAUCAUCGGACAAUCAUACAGUAAAACCAUCCUCCAUCCCUCCCUCCAUCUCUCCCUCUCUCCACAUUAAAAAAAAACACUGAAAAUACCUGCAGUAAACAACCAGAAGAGCUGGAGCACGAGUGCUUUCCGAAUCAGUUAUGAUAUUGUUGGGAAAAAAUCAGAUACAAUUUAUCAAAUUACCAAGUCAUGAAAAAUAUAAAUAAAAAGUUGGGCUUAUUAUUAUCCGAUUUUUGUACCACA
ensembl:lncRNA